CAGAGGCAGGACCUGAAUCAUACCUUGUAUUGGAAGCAGCACUCACUACUCAAACACCUGAGAAAAGUCAAGAAGGAGGCACCACUGAUGAAGGAGCCCCAAGUGGUGAAGACCCACUUGAAGGACUUGCUCAUCCUGCUCAGGAUGGUGGCAGUAUGAUGUGGGUGUGUACAACAGCAAGACUUUCAUCCAGGUGGAAAUCAAGCUACACAUGACUGACCACUACCUGGGUGAGUUCUCCAACACCUACAAGUCCAUGAGAACAGCAUCAAUGCUCCACACUCCUCCUGCUUCAUCCCC
rnacentral:lncRNA from 1 species